GAUGAACGCUGGCGGCGUGCCUAAUACAUGCCAGUCGAGCGAACAGACGAGGAGCUUGCUCCUCUGACGUUAGCGGCGGACGGGUGAGUAACACGUGGAUAACUUACCUAUAAGACUGGGAUAACUUCGGGAAACCGGAGCUAAUACCGGAUAAUAUAUUGAACCGCAUGGUUCAAUAGUGAAAGACGGUUUUGCUGUCACUUAUAGAUGGAUCCGCGCCGCAUUAGCUAGUUGGUAAGGUAACGGCUUACCAAGGCAACGAUGCGUAGCCGACCUGAGAGGGUGAUCGGCCACACUGGAACUGAGACACGGUCCAGACUCCUACGGGAGGCAGCAGUAGGGAAUCUUCCGCAAUGGGCGAAAGCCUGACGGAGCAACGCCGCGUGAGUGAUGAAGGUCUUCGGAUCGUAAAACUCUGUUAUUAGGGAAGAACAAAUGUGUAAGUAACUAUGCACGUCUUGACGGUACCUAAUCAGAAAGCCACGGCUAACUACGUG
rnacentral:rRNA from 1 species